rnacentral:lncRNA from 10 species
GCUCAGUAGGAGACAGGUCUAAUGGUUCUGCGUUGUUCUCAAUCUCCCCAAGAGGAAAGCUAUACAGUGGGUUACUCAGGAUUGUUAUCUCCAGUGGUUAAUAACAUUCGUUCAGUGUUCACAGUGUGCUGAGGUCUGUCUUACAUCGUCUCACGAAAUCACCACUGCAACCCUGUAAGGUUCUUCUUUCUCCCAACCUCCAAAGGAAAGGAAGGAAAUUGAUAUGCCAAAAACCAUACAAAAGAUAAAUCCAGGAGUUGGUUAUUUGAAAGAUGUAAUAAGAUAAAUAAAACGCUACCUAGACUAAUAAAGAAAAAAAGAGAGAUGGUUCAAAUAAGCACAAUCAGAAAUGACAAAAGGGAUGUUACCACUCACAACACAGAAAUACAAAAAACCAUCAGCAACUACUACUGUCAGGCCUCUGAGCCCAGGCCAGGCCAUCGCAUCCCCUGUGACUUGCACGUAUACAUCCAGAUGGACUGAAGUAACUGAAGAUCCACAAAAGAAGUAAAAACAGCCUUAAAUGAUGACACUCCACCAUUGUGAUUUGUUCCUGCCCCACCCUAACUGAUCAAUGUACUUUGUAAUCUCCCCCACCCUUAAGAAGGUUCUUUGCAAUUCUCCCCACCCUU